rnacentral:rRNA from 1 species
UAGCAAUAUUCUCUAGUCGGAGUGGCGCAAGGGUGCGUAACACGUGGGUAAUCUGCCGUGAAGCCUGGGAUAACUCGCUGAAAGGCGAGCUAAUACCGGAUGUGACUGUUGGGAAGCAUUUUCUGACAUUCAAAGCUGGGGACCGCAAGGCCUGGCCCUUCACGAUGAGCCCGCGGCCUAUCAGCUAGUUGGUGAGGUAACGGCCCACCAAGGCUAAGACGGGUAGCUGGUCUGAGAGGACGACCAGCCACACUGGAACUGAGACACGGUCCAGACACCUACGGGUGGCAGCAGUCGAGAAUUUUUCACAAUGGGCGCAAGCCUGAUGGAGCGACGCCGCGUGGGGGAUGAAGGGUUUCGAUCCGUAAACCCCUGUCAUUUGCGAACAAUGCCUAUUCAAUAACACUGGAUAGGUUGAUAGUAGCGGAAGAGGAAGGGACGGCUAACUCUGUGCCAGCAGCCGCGGUAAUACAGAGGUCCCAAGCGUUGUUCGGAUUCACUGGGCGUAAAGGGUGCGUAGGUGGCCGUGGAAGUUUGGUGUGAAAGCUCGGAGCUUAACUCCGAAAAGGCAUUAAAUACUCUACGGCUGGAGGGUCGGAGGGGAGACUGGAAUUCUCGGUGUAGCA